rnacentral:misc_RNA from 1 species
GCAUUUACACCUGUCAUGACUGCAAAGUUACGAGCUUGAACCAUGGGCCCACCAGCAACAACCUGGGCUUGCUUCAUGGCUUGGAAAUCGAACCCGGUGGCGGCCUCGGGAGGAGGGGUUGGGAGGGACGGAGAGAAGGUCCCCAUGAGACCCCCGAUGGCGGCGCCUUGGACGGCGCUGGUGGCGGUGACGACGGCGGCCUCCAACGCAAGGGGCUGCUUGUCGAGCCAAGCCCGGAAGCCGUUCUCGAAGUCCUUCACCCGAGCCUGAAGCUGAACCAACGGAUUUUGAGGUCGCGGCGCCGGAACCAUCACCACGCUCCGCCGUCCGUCCAUCGCCG